CAGCCGCCGCGGUAAUACGUAGGUGGCAAGCGUUGUCCGGAAUUAUUGGGCGUAGAGGGCUCGCAGGCGGUUUCUUAAGUCUGAUGUGAAAGCCCCUGGCUCAACCGGGGAGGGUCAUUGGAAACUGGGAAACUUGAGUGCAGAAGAGGAGAGUGGAAUUCCACGUGUAGCGGUGAAAUGCGUAGAGAUGUGGAGGAACACCAGUGGCGAAGGCGACUCUCUGGUCUGUAACUGACGCUGAGGAGCGAAAGCGUGGGGAGCGAACAGGAUUAGAUACCCCCGUAGUCCCUGUCUCUUAUAC
rnacentral:rRNA from 1 species